AGUGAUAUGUCUGAAUUAAAAGUAAUAAACUGUAAAUUUAUUUAUAAAUAUUUAAAAAAAUAUUUUUUCACUA
rnacentral:tRNA from 1 species